rnacentral:rRNA from 1 species
GACGAACGCUGGCGGCGUGCUUAACACAUGCAAGUCGAACGGAAAGGCCCUGCUUUUGUGGGUGCUCGUGUGGCGAACGGGUGAGUAACCCGUUAGUAACCUGCCCUUGACUUUGGGAUAACUUCAGGAAACUGGGGCUAAUACCGGCUAGGAGCUCCUGCUGCCUGGUUGGGGUUGGAAAGUUUCGGCGGUUGGGGAUGGACUCGCCGCUUAUCAGCUUGUUGGUGGGGUAGUGGCUUACCAAGGCUUUGACGGGUAGCCGGCCUGAGAGGGUGACCGGCCACAUUGGGACUGAGAUACGGCCCAGACUCCUACGGGAGGCAGCAGUGGGGAAUAUUGCACAAUGGGCGGAAGCCUGAUGCAGCAACGCCGCGUGCGGGAUGACGGCCUUCGGGUUGUAAACCGCUUUCGCCUGUGACGAAGCGUGAGUGACGGUAAUGGGUAAAGAAGCACCGGCUAACUACGUG